UGAGUCCGCUGCUUAAUAGUUGAUUAGAUUAGAAUCAUACUCUUGCUAAGUUUAAAUUCCACUAAGCAUCCAUACAACUUAGCUUAUUUAACUCUAAAAGAUUAGAAGUAGUUGAAAAGUUUUUAAAAGACCCAAUUCACCCCCCCCCUCUUGGGUUGUCACCUUGGGCAACAAGUGGUAUCAGAGCAGGUGCUCUAAGAU
rnacentral:lncRNA from 1 species